AACUGUUGUUUUUAGUCUCCUGGAGCAGCCGCGCCUUCCCACAGCACUCAGACUUGAGGAAGCUUAAGAAGCUGAGACCAGAGAGGGCGACGUGCACCUUGGUGACGAAGCACUCUAGAGGCUGCCGCCACACUUAAAAAGUGACCAGUCACCAACAACUCAUCUUAAGUACAGGAAGAAUGCCAGCAGCUGAAUGAAAUUCUUGCUUUCCCUGACCUGGAAGGAGAGAACAAGGACCUUCCUGAGGCAGGACAAGGACCCAGAACUACCCAGAAUGCAGCAGGGCGGCCCCACAUGACUGAGCUCUGAUCCUAACCUACAAAAUGAAUUUUCAAUUUCCACUUCCUGAGAAGGUCAGGUGUAUAGGUGUAGGUCUGUGAACCAAGUGCACGUCUAGUUCCCUUGGAGGCCAGAAAGAAGGCGGUGUCAGAUCCCCAGGAACCAUAGUUACAGAUGGUUUGUAGUCUCCCCUCCCCCAGCCUAAAUCCUGCUUGCUCAGGGGUGGAGCUUCCCGCUCAAUCGUUCAGCCAUGCCCACUGCUGGAAGCUGCCGCUUUGCUGUUCAGAGCCGUGCACGUGGUCACCCUGCUAUUGGACCCCAAGACUAAUUGGCGGGAAUCGGGCCCCCUUCCCCUGCUUUAUAAUUGCGUGUGGAACAGUAAAAUUGAGCUUUGAUCAGAA
rnacentral:lncRNA from 1 species